CGGAUCCCAGGGUUUGGGGCUGGAAUUCCCCGAAAAAACUCCGGGAAAAUCGCUUUAAAUCCCUGGAAAAAUCACUGCAAAUCCCUGGAAAAAUCACUGUAAUUCCCAGGAUAAAACUCCAGAAAAAUCGCUUUAAUUCCCAGGAAAAAAAAAAAAACAAACCCCACAUAAAAAUUCACUUUAAUUCCCAUAAAAAUUCACUUUAAUUCCCAAAACAACCCGGGAAAAUUCCCUCUAAUUCCAGCAGCCGCUUUUGCCGCUUCCCAGAAAUAAUCCGGGAAAGGUUUUUCCCUGCCAAAAACUGGGACGGGAGGGAUCCAAAGAAAGGGAAAACUGCGGGAAGAGGAAGGGGGAUUUUAUUUUUGGCAAAUAAAUGGAAUUUUAGGGCGCAAUGAAAGGGAAUUUUGGGGCCGAUUAAAUGGGAAUUUUGGGAAAAGAAUGGGAAUUUUGUGGCCGAGUGAAAGGGAUUUUUUUGGAGGGGGAAAAAAAAAAAUCAGGAAUCCCCGCUCGGGGCGCUUCAAAUCCCGAGGUUUGGGGGAGGUUUGGGGGAGAUUUAUUUAAAAGGAAUUUCGCCGGGAAUUUCCAGGAAAAAUCCGCUUUGCGCGGGAAUUCCGGGAGAAAUCCCGAAUUCCUGGGAUUGGGAAUGGAGGGAAGAGGAGGGGGAGGAAGAGCGGGAGAAAUAAAAAGGAGGAGGAGGAAAAGGGGGAAAAAAAGGGGGAAAAGGAAAAGGGGGGAAAAGAAAAGGGGGAAAAGGAAAAGGGGGAAAAAAGGAGGAAAAGGAAAAGGGGGAAAAGGAAAAGGGGGAAAAAAGGAGGAAAAGGAAAAGGGGGAAAAAUAAAAGGGGGAAAAGGAAAAGGGGGAAAAAUAAAAGGGGAAAAGGAAAAGGGGGAAAAAUAAAAGGGGAAAAGGAAACGGAGGAAAAGGAAAAGGAGGAGGAGGAGGAGGAGGAGGAAGGGGAGGAGGGAGCAGCCGAUGAUUCCCAAAUCCCGGCAUCCCUCGCUCCGCUGGAAGCGGCUCCGGGCCGGGCCCGGCGCUCCCCGCCGGGAUUUGGGAAUUUCGGGAUCAGCCCCGGAGCCGGGAGAGCCCCGGGAGGAUCCCGGGAUCCCGGGGUUCCCGCCGGGAUCGGGAAUUCCCGGCCCCGCGGCCCAUGCGGACACCGAGCGGCGGCCGCGGCCUGCCCAGGAACGCCCCUGGAGCAGCCGGGCCCCCCCCGCCAUGGCCUCGCCCCCCCCGCCCGCAGUAGGAUCUCCCCCGGAGCCCCCCGGCCCCGCGGGGAUGGAGGAGCUGGGCCAGGCCUUCGACUUCCAGGACAGCGAGGAGGAGGAGGAGGAGGAAGAGGAGGACGAGGAGGAUUCCGGAGCUGAUCCCUGCCCUGAUCCCGGAGCCGAUCCCGGAGCCGAUCCCGGAGCCGAUCCCGGAGAUGGAGAAGGGA
rnacentral:lncRNA from 1 species